rnacentral:lncRNA from 1 species
UCCUUUGGAGCAGAAACCUCAGCCCCUUUCCUCGUCUUCGCCCUCCUCUGUUUUCACAAUGCAAGAAGAACGCCGACCGCAGAGACGAUAGGGUUCCGUUCCCUUCUGCAAAGAAGAAGAAGAAGGAGACCAGAUAGCGGAGUUGAUGACCGUCCACUUCCUCCCUUCGCCGAUGGAGAGGAAAGAGGGAUCUCCCUCCUUCGAUUUCAUGCAAGAGGAACAGAAUUCUCCCAACGGCAAGCUUCUGUUCGUUCUUCUUGCAGAUCUCUCCUUCUUGCAGAAGAACGAAGAGACAACCCCU